AGCUCGUCUGCUGCUUGCCGCAAUGUUUGCUGCUCACUCAAAAAGUGCUGGGCCCUUGACCCUGGAUUCCUCUGCUGCAGUGCAUCCCACUGAGUGUGUAGCCCUCAUCUGGGCCUGUUUUGCCAUGGAACUCGGGGCAGGACGCCGGCUGCAAAGAUGCUAGCGCUCUCUGAAGUGAUUGAAACUUCCAGCUGGCUCCGGGUUUCCACUCUUGCCCCCUUCAGCCAGGACGAUCCUGUUAAAAUGAUAGCUGAAAUCCAAGAAGCGCAGCCAGGGAGUUCUGGAGAAACGAGUGCUCGAAUGCAGGUUACCUCUGCCGUCAUCUGCAGAAAAGUUCUCAGGAGUCUGGGCUGAAGUACAAGUAACAUUCUUGAAGUACAAUUCUCAGAGAACCAGCUUCUUCACAACCUUGACAUCACUAACAACCCAUUGCUGGCCUGCUGCUAUGCUGGCACCCUCGACUUUUC